AAGGUGAGGGAGGAAUAACGAAGACUCAAGGUGAGGGAGGAAUAACGAAGACUCAAGGUGAGGGGGGAAUAACGAAGACUCAAGGUGAGGGAGGAAUAACUGAGACUCAAAGUGAGAGAGAAGUAACUGAGACUCAAAGUGAGGGGGGAGUAACCAGAGUGAAAUUUGUGAUUACACUACAAAUUAAGCAGACUCCAGGUGAGAGGGAAAUAACUGAGACUCAAAAAGAGACGGAAAUAACUGAGACUCGAGGUGAGAGGGAAAUAACUGAGACUCCAAGUCGGGGGGAAAUAACUGAGACUCAAAAAGAGAAGGAAGUAACUGAGACUCAAAAAGAGAUGGAAAUAACUGAGACUCCAAGUGGGGGGGAAAUAACUGAAACUCAAAAAGAGAAGGAAAUAACUGAGAAUGAAGUUUCUCUUGAGAAAACCAGUGGAAGUCCAUCAGUCUCUGAGAAGUCCUUCGGUAGCGCCAAGGAAGGAAAGCAGGUGACAUUUAAAGAUGAAGAUGAAAUUUUUACUCCUGAAUUUGAUUUUGAAUUUGAAGAGACAGAUUAUGAGGAGAGUCCUUCUGAUAGUUCUGAUGGGACACCUGCUGACUCCAAGGAAGAGGAAGAGCCUGCUGAGCAAUAGAAGGACAGUGCAGCAGGCGCAAACAACAGCAACAAGGCCUGAAGAUUCUGGAAUGACCCAUGCCUCGACCUCAUUCAAAGUUCAUGGGCUUUGUGCCAGGAAAAUAAAUAUUUUACAUGAACUCCGCCAUUUUGGGUCAGAAGAUGGAUCAACUAGCCUUGCAGAAUAUGCCGGAAGGUUGCUAAUGACUACAUAAGUGCUGUUUUUUUUUGUUUGUUUUUUUUUACUUUUUCUCCAAUAUUAUAUUAUAUUAUAUUUUAAUCCUGUAUCCACAUAUAUUUAAUCUUGUAUGUGUAUCCACAUAUAUUUAAUCCUGUAUAUACUGUGUAUCCAUUUAAUCUUGUAUAUACUGUGUAUCCAUUUAAUCUUGUAUAUACUGUGUAUUUAUUUAAUCCUGUAUGUGUAUCCAGAUAUGUUUAAUCCUGUAUAUUCUGUGUAUCCUCUCCCAAGUAGAGAAUCGUUCAAAUAAAUUAUUUAAAGC